AGGGAACAUGUCUGCUAAUUGU
rnacentral:miRNA from 1 species